rnacentral:rRNA from 1 species
UACGAAGGGUGCUAGCGUUGUUCGGAAUUACUGGGCGUAAAGCGUGCGUAGGCGGUUUAGCAAGUCGAUUGUGAAAGCCCAGGGCUCAACCCUGGAAUUGCAAUCGAAACUACUUUACUAGAGUAUGGUGGGGGAUAGUAGAAUUCCUAGUGUAGGGGUGAAAUCCGUAGAUAUUAGGAGGAAUACCAGUGGCGAAGGCGACUAUCUACACCAUUACUGACGCUGAGGUACGAAAGCGUGGGGAGCAAAC